rnacentral:tRNA from 1 species
AAAUAUGAAGCGAUUUAUUGCAAUUAGUUUCGACCUAAUUUUAGGUGAAACUCACCCAUAUUUU